AUGGCCGGGCUCGGAGGCCGGCGGCGGCGCACGGCGCGAAGGCCGCCCCGAAGGGCGAUAGGUCAUUUUGUCGGAGUAAUUGACCACGGAUACCCCGAAGACGGCGAGACAAUAAUUCAAGACAUCGGGGCUAGCAAAGCCCAUCAGUCCGACUGCCCGGCCGCUCCUGCCGGCUCCCCGUCCGACUGCUCUGCCUGGCCGGCUGCCGACUGCGCCAACCAGCCGGCUGCCGACUACAACCCGACUCGACACCGACAAGACAUCGACAAGACAGCCACACCGCGGCCAUGCCUGGCCACUAUUGCUGCAUAG
rnacentral:rRNA from 1 species